UCCAGACUCCUACGGGAGGCAGCAGUGGGGAAUCUUGCGCAAUGGGCGGAAGCCUGACGCAGCGACGCCGCGUGCGGGACGAAGGCCUUCGGGUCGUAAACCGCUUUCAGCAGGGACGAGGCCCUCACGGUGACGGUACCUGCAGAAGAAGCCCCGGCUAACUUCGUGCCAGCAGCCGCGGUAAUACGAAGGGGGCAAGCGUUGUUCGGAAUUACUGGGCGUAAAGGGAGUGUAGGCGGUUUAGUAAGAUAGUGGUGAAAUCCCAGGGCUUAACUUUGGAAUUGCCAUUAUAACUAUUAGACUAGAAUUACAGAGAGGAUAGUGGAAUACCCAGUGUAGAGGUGAAAUUCGUAGAUAUUGGGUAGAACACCAGUGGCGAAGGCGACUAUCUGGCUGUACAUUGACGCUGAGGCUCGAAAGCAUGGGGAUCAAACAGGAUUAGAUACCCCAGUA
rnacentral:rRNA from 1 species